rnacentral:rRNA from 1 species
UGACCUCAAAUCAGGUAGGACUACCCGCUGAACUUAAGCAUAUCAAUAAGCGGAGGAAAAGAAACUAACAAGGAUUCCCCUAGUAACUGCGAGUGAAGCGGGAAAAGCUCAAAUUUAAAAUCUGGCGGUCUUCGGCCGUCCGAGUUGUAGUCUGGAGAAGUGCUUUCCGCGCUGGACCGUGUAUAAGUCUCUUGGAACAGAGCGUCAUAGAGGGUGAGAAUCCCGUCUUUGACACGGACUACCAGUGCUUUGUGAUGCGCUCUCAAAGAGUCGAGUUGUUUGGGAAUGCAGCUCAAAAUGGGUGGUGAAUUCCAUCUAAAGCUAAAUAUUGGCGAGAGACCGAUAGCGAACAAGUACCGUGAGGGAAAGAUGAAAAGCACUUUGGAAAGAGAGUUAAACAGUACGUGAAAUUGCUGAAAGGGAAACGCUUGAAGUCAGUCGCGUCGUCCGGAACUCAGCCUUGCUUCCGCUUGGUGCACUUUCCGGAUGACGGGUCAGCAUCGAUUUUGACCGUCGGAAAAGGGCUGGAGUAAUGUGGCACCUCCGGGUGUGUUAUAGACUCUGGUCGCAUACGGCGGUUGGGAUCGAGGAACGCAGCGCGCCGCAAGGCAGGGGUUCGCCCACUUCGCGCUUAGGAUG